rnacentral:rRNA from 1 species
CCUACGGGUGGCAGCAGUGAGGAAUAUUGGUCAAUGGCCGGAAGGCUGAACCAGCCAAGCCGCGUGAAGGACGAAGGUGCCAAGCAUUGUAAACUUCUUUUGUCAAGGGACAAAAUCAGGCUCGAGAGCCUGACCGAGGGUACUUGAAGAAAAAGCAUCGGCUAACUCCGUGCCAGCAGCCGCGGUAAUACGGAGGAUGCGAGCGUUAUCCGGAUUUAUUGGGUUUAAAGGGUGCGUAGGCGGACUGUUAAGUCAGCGGGAAAAGCCCGGGGCUCAACCCCGGCGAGCCGUUGAAACUGGGUGUCUUGAGAUGUCGAGAGGUAUGCGGAAUGCGCAGUGUAGCGGUGAAAUGCUUAGAUAUUGCGCAGAACUCCGAUUGCGAAGGCAGCAUACCGGCGGCGAUCUGACGCUGAGGCACGAAAGCGUGGGUAUCGAACAGGAUUAGAUACCCGUGUAGUC